rnacentral:tRNA from 1 species
CAUUAGAUGACUGAAAGAUAAGUAUUGGUCUCUUAAACCACUUUAUAGUAAUUAACGACUACUUCUAAUG